ensembl:miRNA gga-mir-1721 gga-mir-1721
GGGUAAGUAUUUUAGGUGGUUAUGCUGUGCCACCCAGGGGGGACAGAGAUGAUGUUGGUCUGAUGUGCUGUCCC